AACGAACGCUGGCGGCAUGCCUAACACAUGCAAGUCGAACGAGACCUUCGGGUCUAGUGGCGCACGGGUGCGUAACGCGUGGGAACCUGCCCUUAGGUUCGGAAUAACUCCCCGAAAGGGGUGCUAAUACCGGAUAAUGUCUUCGGACCAAAGAUUUAUUGCCUUUGGAUGGGCCCGCGUUGGAUUAGCUAGUUGGUAGGGUAAAAGCCUACCAAGGCGACGAUCCAUAGCUGGUCUGGGAGGAUGACCAGCCACACUGGGACUGAGACACGGCCCAGACUCCUACGGGAGGCAGCAGUGGGGAAUAUUGGACGAUGGGCGAAAGCCUGAUCCAGCAAUGCCGCGUGAGUGAUGAAGGCCUUAGGAUUGUAAAGCUCUUUUACCCGGGAUGAUAAUGACAGUACCGGGAGAAUAAGCUCCGGCUAACUCCGUG
rnacentral:rRNA from 1 species